UACGUAGCGCGCAAGCGUUGUCCGGAAUUAUUGGGCGUAAAGAGCUCGUAGGCGGUUUGUCGCGUCUGCUGUGAAAGCCCGGGGCUCAACCCCGGGUCUGCAGUGGGUACGGGCAGACUAGAGUGCAGUAGGGGAGACUGGAAUUCCUGGUGUAGCGGUGAAAUGCGCAGAUAUCAGGAGGAACACCGAUGGCGAAGGCAGGUCUCUGGGCUGUAACUGACGCUGAGGAGCGAAAGCAUGGGGAGCGAACAGG
rnacentral:rRNA from 1 species